AAUCUAAUGACAUCAUUAAACCUUUUGCUGUUUAUGAAAGGUUCUUACUGAUUGUAUAGGUAAUUGAAUAUAUUAGCUUGUAUUUGUAUAUUAUAACAAAUGUGGCUUACUUGUUAAUAUAUAGAUUUCCUAUUUAUAUAAUUGGAUAAUUUCAUGUUUUACACUUCCCUCAAUUUUGUUAUCUAAAACUAUAACCUCCCUAAAGUGCAGUGUAUUUCUCAAAUCUCUAUUGUAUUGUUAAGUUUUGUCGUAAAAAGAAAAAAAGAUGGUAUGGUUCUUAAUUUAAAGAGUAAUGCCAAUAAAUUCAGUAAGUACUUAUUUGGCUGCAGGCUUACAUUUGUUGUCGUUUGUUGUGAAGUUUUUCCAGAUUUACCAAUGAUGAGGAAACCGGAGAGGGCACACUUCUUCAGCCAAAGGGAGCAGGAGCUCAUUAUGAAGCUGUAUGAAGAAGAAAGGGCCAUUCUAACAGCUAAGUCCAAUACCACCAAUGCCUCCAGACUCAGAGAGGAAGCCUGGCAGCGAAUCGCCAGUAAAAUAAAUGCUGUUUCAGACAGCGGCUACAGAAGGUCAUGGCAACAAGUGAAAGUCAAAUACAAGAAUAUAGUGCAAACAGCACGGAGACGGCAAGCCGAGCUGAUGAGGAAUGAAGGCGGAUCGGCGACGCCGUCCAUGACGUCUGCAGAUGAUGACAUUUUGCUUCACAGAGACUCGCUAAAACUUGAUGCCCUUGCUGGACUUCCCUCUCUUGACCAAAUAUCUGGUUCUGACAGCUCAUAUAUGAGCAUGCCAGGCCAUCCUGUCCUCCUAAUGCCAGUGACAAAGACUGAACCAGAGAGCCUCAGCAGCGACGACACAGACAUUAGUGACCAUCAUUUUGAAAACGAGGUAUAGGAACCUUUAAAUAUUUGACAACUUAAAUGUUUUUCUUUGAAUUUCAUAAUGUGUGCUGGGCUCUUAUCUUGAUAGAGUAUGCCCAUUAGCCACUUUGAAGAGCGGCCAAGCACAGCAGAGGCUACAGGUGGUGGCAGUAGUGGCGAGGUAAGGUCCUUACAUUAGAGUGUGCCUCAGAUGAGCAUGUGUGGAUGUAAAUGUCUGUUUUCACAGACACAGACAGAAGACGUGAAGGCUCUUUACUCCAGUUACCUCAGAAAGGAGAUGGAGAACCGGGACCAGGAGAUGGCAUACAGAGCACUCAAAAUGAAGAAGUUGGAGAAAGAAAUACUAUUACUUGACAAACAACUAAUGUGAAUGUGAUAAUUUAAAAAUGUUAUGUUUUCUGAUCGCU
rnacentral:lncRNA from 1 species